UCAAACUUGGUCAUUUAGAGGAAGUAAAAGUCGUAACAAGGUUUCCGUAGGUGAACCUGCGGAAGGAUCAUUCAAAAAAUGAUUUAAAAGGCCCUUCUUCUCCCCUCUCUUCGAGAGAAGAGAGAGAGGAAGGCCAAAAAUUCCUUAUUUUUUUUUUGAACGCCUCGCUCAAAAAAAAAACAAAAAAAUUGGGCCGAAAUCCAUUUGUAUUGUUGGAAAAAUGGGCUGCUUUAUUAUAGACUUUGCGAAUAAAUUAUUUGUAGAGUCUCUUUAUAUUGCUUCUCUCCACACAAUUUGAAAAUCUUUUUGGCCUCAGUUUUUUUCUUUUUUUUGUCUGAAAAUUUUUUACUUGAUAAUUUUUCAAUGAAAAAUGAAAAUACAACUUUCGACAACGGAUCUCUUGGCUCUCGCAUCGAUGAAGAACGCAGC
rnacentral:misc_RNA from 1 species